rnacentral:misc_RNA from 1 species
ACAAACUUGGUCAUUUAGAGGAAGUAAAAGUCGUAACAAGGUUUCCGUAGGUGAACCUGCGGAAGGAUCAUUAUUGAAUGAACAUUUGAAAGGCCUGUUGUUGCUGGUGAGACUUGUCUCAUAUUGUGCACGCGGGUUCUUCAUUCAUCCACACACACACCUGUGAACUCUUGUGGACGGAAGGGUAAUUCAUUAUUACCUGGAACUCCAUUUUUACUACACACACAUUGAUUACUAUUGUAUCGUUGGUUUAUAAAAUACAACUUUCAACAACGGAUCUCUUGGCUCUCGCAUCGAUGAAGAACGCAGC